rnacentral:rRNA from 1 species
AUGCGCAUGUUGAGAUGGAUGUGUGGCCACACGAGGAAGGAUCAAGUCCGGAAUGAUGAUAUACGAGAUAGAGUUGGGGUAGCACCAAUUGAAGAGAAGCUUGUCCAACAUCGUCUGAGAUGGUUUGGGCAUAUUCAGCGCAAGCCUCCAGAAGCUCCAGUGCAUAGCGGACGGCUAAAGCGCGCGGAGAAUGUCAAGAGAGGGCAGGGUAGACCGAAUUUGACAUGGGAGGAGUCCGUUAAGAGAGACCUGAAGGAUUGGAGUAUCACCAAAGAACUAGCUAUGGACAGGGGUGCGUGGAAGCUUGCUAUCCAUGUGCCAGAGCCAUGA